CUGGAAGCGUCUCACGGCGCACCCAGAAACCCUAUGUGAACCUAUACCUCUCUGUUGCCUCGGCGCUGGCUGGGAGCUUCUAUAAACUCCCCCUCUGCGGAAGGGUGGCGGUCCUCACGGGCCACCCCCCAAGCCGAGGAGCAGGCCCGCCGGCGGCCCUUUAAACUCUUGUUUUAAACGUAUCUCUUCUGAGUACAAAUUAUAAAUGAAUCA
rnacentral:misc_RNA from 1 species